rnacentral:rRNA from 1 species
CCUACGGGGGGCAGCAGUGAGGAAUAUUGGUCAAUGGACGAGAGUCUGAACCAGCCAAGUAGCGUGAAGGAUGACUGCCCUAUGGGUUGUAAACUUCUUUUAUAAAGGAAUAAAACGAGGCACGUGUGCCUUUUUGCAUGUACUUUAUGAAUAAGGAUCGGCUAACUCUGUGCCAGCAGCCGCGGUAAUACGGAGGAUCCGAGCGUUAUCCGGAUUUAUUGGGUUGAAAGGGAGCGUAGAUGGGUUGUUAAGUCAGUUGUGAAAGUUUGCGGCUCAACCGUAAAAUUGCAAUUGAUACUGGCAGUCGUGAGUACAGUUGAGGUAAGCGGAAUUCGUGGUGUAGCGGUGAAAUGCUUAGAGAUCACGAAGAACCCCGAUUGCGAAGGCAGCUUACUAAACUGUGACUGACGCUGAGGCUCGAAAGCGUGGGGAGCAAACAGGAUUAGAUACCCUUGUAGUC